rnacentral:rRNA from 1 species
AACGAACGCUGGCGGCAUGCCUAACACAUGCAAGUCGAACGAGACCUUCGGGUCUAGUGGCGCACGGGUGCGUAACGCGUGGGAACCUGCCCUUAGGUUCGGAAUAACUCCCCGAAAGGGGUGCUAAUACCGGAUAAUGUCUUCGGACCAAAGAUUUAUCGCCUUUGGAUGGGCCCGCGUUGGAUUAGCUAGUUGGUAGGGUAAAAGCCUACCAAGGCGACGAUCCAUAGCUGGUCUGAGAGGAUGAUCAGCCACACUGGGACUGAGACACGGCCCAGACUCCUACGGGAGGCAGCAGGGGGGAAUUUUGGAAAAGGGGCGAAAGCCUGACCCAGAAAUGCCGCGUGAGUGAUGAAGGGCUUAGGUUUGUAAAGCUCUUUUCCCCGGGAUGAUAAUGACAGUACCGGGAGAAUAAGCCCCGGCUAACUCCGU